UACGAAGGGGGCUAGCGUUGCUCGGAAUCACUGGGCGUAAAGCGCACGUAGGCGGCUUUUUAAGUCAGGGGUGAAAUGCCGAGGCUCAACCUCGGAACUGCCUUUGAUACUGGCGAUCUUAGAGUCCGGGAGAGGUGAGUGGAACUCCGAGUGUAGAGGUGAAAUUCGUAGAUAUUCGGAAGAACACCAGUGGCGAAGGCGGCUCACUGGCCCGGUACUGACGCUCAGGUGCGAAAGCGUGGGGAGCAAACAGG
rnacentral:rRNA from 1 species